UGUGGUGGGGGGGGGAGCCUGGGGAGAAUGUGAGACUGGAUAGUGGUAGGUACACGUGUGUGUGUGUGUGUUCGUGUAUUAAGAGCCUGUGUGUGUGGCUACUCAAAUGCAUUUUAUCUACAUAAAACAGUGUCGCCGUUGCACGGCACGAGCUAUGACUUGACUGUGCUACAUGAGUGUGCUCAACAACAUAGGCCAGAAAGAGGGAACCAUCCAAUGGUGAAGAACUAUUCAACACUUAGUAGGAAUCUUGGAAGUUGAUAAAAAGAAGACCCGAAGACCUUGUUCCAACAGCCAGAAAAGAGUUGGACAGCUAGAAAAGUGCAGAUUACAUCACAGGAUCAGUGAACAGAAGAAUCCCAGAUGAAGAGAAUGCACCAUAAGACUUGUUAUGACUUGUGUUUAUCUUGCAAUGUUAUGUCAUAUUAAAACAAAACCCACAUGAAUGA
rnacentral:sRNA from 1 species